CUUGUGGUCUUGUGGAGGGUGAUAGACUGUAAACAAAUAAUAAAUAUAAGUCCCAUAUAAUAUCCUAUAUAUGGUAGCAGGAGCUAUGCCAGUUCAAGUCAGAGCUGCUUGCCAUGACUUGCUGUGGUGGCUCCUGACUCUGAGCUUCAGUGUGUGACUUUUUUUUUUUUCUGACCACUAAGAUUAAUUAGCAAGUGUGAUGCUGAUAGAGGAUUCAGAAAUAUUCCUACUUUUCUGCUUUCUGUCUUGAAAUGCUUAUUCUUGGAACCCUGAGCCAUCAUGAGAGAGGUCUGUCUACUUGGCAGGAGAGACCACAUUGAAAAGAGGAGGAAUGUCUGGGGCUGGUUCCCAGCUGUUCCAGCCAUUUCAACAGAGAUGGUAAAAAUGUGAGUGAAAAAGCUCUGUGGAUGUUCCAGCCUAGGAGAUGCCACACGGAGCAGAAGACCUGUCCAGAUGAAUUCGACCCAGAGUGUAGGAUUCUGUGAAAUAAUAAAUCAAUGUUGCCAUUUCAUGUCAUUACAUUUGGGUGUUUUUUGAUGUAGCAGUAGGUGACAGAAGCACCAGGCAAUUUUUGAAAUCUCCAUGAACCUAAGUUUUUUGACAAUACAUUAUCUGCCACUCAAGGCUUUUUAUAGAGUAGCUGCUCAAUAAAUGCUGUUUCUGGCAUUUUCUCAGUGUGCUGUGCUUCUUCCACUUUCUUAUUUGAGGGUUAUUUAGGUCUGUCACGGAACAUUAGUCAGCUCAAGUGCUAUACUCUGAAGUUGAAGAGAUUCCUAAAGUAGGCAGAUUUUGGAAGCUCACUGGAGCAUGGAGAAACUGGAGCAGCCAUCUGGCAAAGGAUAAACUCUUGACGCCUCUGGCAUCUUUCCCUAAAAGUUUGCUUUCUUUUUCCUCCUUCUAGGAAGAUAGGCAACAGAAAAUAGCAUGGGCUGUAAGUUAGAUACAGAUUUGAAUUUUGCCUUUCCUAUUUACUGGCUAUGUUAUUUUAAAUAGUUGACUCAUUUUUCUAAGCCUCAAUUUCCUCCUUUGUAAAACAGGGAUGAUAACAGUGACUGACUCACAGGUGUGGGAGCCAAGAUGGUGAGAUGACUGCUCUCCUGAGCAGAGGUACAUGUCAGACAGUACAGGCUGAUUAUCCCUAAUCUGAAAAUCUGAAAUCCAGAAUGCUCCAAAAUCCAAAACUUUUCAAGUGCUGAUGUGAUGCCUUAAGUAGAAAAUACCACACUAUGAAACUUCAUUUUAGGCAUAAAAUUAUUUAAAAUAUUGUAUAAAAUUACUUUUAGGCUAUGUGUAUGAGGUAUAUGUGAAACAUAAAUGAAUUUCAUGUUUAGAUGUGGGUUCUAUU
rnacentral:lncRNA from 1 species